GAUAAAAAUUGGCUGAAAAUUCUUUGUGAAGCAACAGUUGGACAAUGUAACUGGAUCUAGUAAAUCAAAUUUGAAUAGAAGUUCUUCAAAUUGAUCUUGGGAUUUUCCUCUUUGCGCUGAAUUUUUUCUGAUGUAGGCCAAACACACCCUUAGUAUUUCAACAGCAGCUAGAGUGGGUGACUGGGAAAUUGGAACUCGAAAUCUUGCCGACAUGAUAAAAUCAACAAAUCUUUCAUAUUUUUCUUUUUUUUAUUUCUUUGGAGGGCAGUGAUCAGUCUCAUCACUGU
rnacentral:misc_RNA from 1 species